UUUCUACUACUGCUCUUUUCUUCUUCUUCUUCUUCCUUUUUAAAUCUAAAAAUAGUGGUGUUUGAAAAGGCGUUUACUGAUAUAUACCAGCCCUACUAACAGCAGUCAAACUCACCAUUGCUGCAGUAGCCCUCACAAGAAGGGUGCUCUAGUAGCCUUGUCCUCUUCAUCUUCAAAAAUCGCAAAGCUGCCUGCAUCAUGCUUAUGAUUGUCGUCCUCCAUCGGUGAUGAGACAAAA
rnacentral:lncRNA from 1 species